rnacentral:lncRNA from 1 species
UUUUGAGAUUGAGAUGCAGUAGUUGUGCUUCUUCUUGAUGUUGGAUGAUGAUACAGCCAUUUUUUUUCUCUCACACACUCAGACGCGCGUGAGAUACACGCACACGCACACAGACGCAAAAACACGCAGUAGAAACUAGAAAAAGGAGACACUUUAGAGAUGAAUGUUUAAGUGUACUAAGGUUGUUGUUCCGUUCGUUCCACCAUUUUUUUUGUGAGCUUUCGUGGAAAGAUUUAAGAGAGAGAGAGAGAGAGAGAGAGGGUAGAGAGAGAAAGUUGGGCGGCGGGAAACGCGAGAAAAUGAUUAGAUGCGCG